rnacentral:rRNA from 1 species
AACGAACGCUGGCGGCGUGGAUAAGACAUGCAAGUCGAACGGGAUUUUCUUUGGUAGCAAUACCGAAGAAAGUCUAGUGGCGAACGGGUGCGUAACACGUGGGCAAUCUGCCUUAAAGUGGGGGAUAGCUCGGCGAAAGCCGAAUUAAUACCGCAUGUGAUCAGGGGAGACAUCUUCCCGAAAUCAAAAGUGGCGCAAGCUACUGCUUUUUUGAGGAGCCCGCGGCCUAUCAGCUAGUUGGUGAGGUAAUGGCUCACCAAGGCUUUGACGGGUAGCUGGUCUGAGAGGACGACCAGUCACACUGGAACUGAGACACGGUCCAGACACCUACGGGUGGCAGCAGUCGAGAAUUUUUCUCAAUGGGGGAAACCCUGAAAGGAGCGACGCCGCGUGGAGGAUGAAGGUCUUCGGGUUGUAAACUCCUGUCAUUUGAGAACAAGGUGCACAUGUUAACUGCAUGUGCAUUGAUAGUAAUCAGAAGAGGAAGGGACGGCUAACU